rnacentral:rRNA from 1 species
UUUAUGGAGAGUUUGAUCCUGGCUCAGGAUGAACGCUGGCGGCGUGCCUAAUACAUGCAAGUCGAGCGAACGGACGAGAAGCUUGCUUCUCUGAUGUUAGCGGCGGACGGGUGAGUAACACGUGGAUAACCUACCUAUAAGACUGGGAUAACUUCGGGAAACCGGAGCUAAUACCGGAUAAUAUUUUGAACCGCAUGGUUCAAAAGUGAAAGACGGUCUUGCUGUCACUUAUAGAUGGAUCCGCGCUGCAUUAGCUAGUUGGUAAGGUAACGGCUUACCAAGGCAACGAUGCAUAGCCGACCUGAGAGGGUGAUCGGCCACACUGGAACUGAGACACGGUCCAGACUCCUACGGGAGGCAGCAGUAGGGAAUCUUCCGCAAUGGGCGAAAGCCUGACGGAGCAACGCCGCGUGAGUGAUGAAGGUCUUCGGAUCGUAAAACUCUGUUAUUAGGGAAGAACAUAUGUGUAAGUAACUGUGCACAUCUUGACGGUACCUAAUCAGAAAGCCACGGCUAACUACGUGCCAGCAGCCGCGGUAAUACGUAGGUGGCAAGCGUUAUCCGGAAUUAUUGGGCGUAAAGCGCGCGUAGGCGGUUUUUUAAGUCUGAUGUGAAAGCCCACGGCUCAACCGUGGAGGGUCAUUGGAAACUGGAAAACUUGAGUGCAGAAGAGGAAAGUGGAAUUCCAUGUGUAGCGGUGAAAUGCGCAGAGAUAUGGAGGAACACCAGUGGCGAAGGCGACUUUCUGGUCUGUAACUGACGCUGAUGUGCGAAAGCGUGGGGAUCAAACAGGAUUAGAUACCCUGGUAGUCCACGCCGUAAACGAUGAGUGCUAAGUGUUAGGGGGUUUCCGCCCCUUAGUGCUGCAGCUAACGCAUUAAGCACUCCGCCUGGGGAGUACGACCGCAAGGUUGAAACUCAAAGGAAUUGACGGGGACCCGCACAAGCGGUGGAGCAUGUGGUUUAAUUCGAAGCAACGCGAAGAACCUUACCAAAUCUUGACAUCCUUUGACAACUCUAGAGAUAGAGCCUUCCCCUUCGGGGGACAAAGUGACAGGUGGUGCAUGGUUGUCGUCAGCUCGUGUCGUGAGAUGUUGGGUUAAGUCCCGCAACGAGCGCAACCCUUAAGCUUAGUUGCCAUCAUUAAGUUGGGCACUCUAAGUUGACUGCCGGUGACAAACCGGAGGAAGGUGGGGAUGACGUCAAAUCAUCAUGCCCCUUAUGAUUUGGGCUACACACGUGCUACAAUGGACAAUACAAAGGGCAGCGAAACCGCGAGGUCAAGCAAAUCCCAUAAAGUUGUUCUCAGUUCGGAUUGUAGUCUGCAACUCGACUACAUGAAGCUGGAAUCGCUAGUAAUCGUAGAUCAGCAUGCUACGGUGAAUACGUUCCGGGUCUUGUACACACCGCCCGUCACACCACGAGAGUUUGUAACACCCGAAGCCGGUGGAGUAACCUUUUAGGAGCUAGCCGUCGAAGGUGGGACAAAUGAUUGGGGUGAAGUCGUAACAAGGUAGCCGUAUCGGAAGGUGCGGCUGGAUCACCUCCUUU